AGGAAUUUUCUCUCUGUUUUAAAGUAAAAAACACACUUUUCACUUAAAUAUGUUUCUAAAUUUCUAUUUCCACUGUAGUCAUUAGCUGGACAUGUGCCGCUCCAAAAGAGAAUGUUAACCUUCGUCUCUUUUGUCGUCAUAAAUGCACAUUCAUGUUUUACAGAGUGCUUCCCUGCAGCAGAUAAAUAUUGAAACCAUUAACACCUUUUGAUGUAUGGUACAGUCUGCAUCUUAGACCCACACAUGGCUGGCCGGCUGUGGUCCCUCCGUGCCGCACACCUGGCCGGGGACCCUGACUCUUCUCUGAGGACAGUGAGCAGCAGUAAUGCCUGUUUCCUUUUCUGGAAAACAGGAUUCUUUUUGAAAAUUUCAUCAGAAGGUGGUGUUUAUUUGUAUUAAAGCAAUGCAUUUAAAUAUUA
rnacentral:lncRNA from 1 species